UAAAUUUCGUUAAAAAUGUGAAUUAAACUUUAAACUUAUAGCACCAUUUGGCAAGGGGAUAGGGGAAGGGGAUCGAUAGGGAUAGGGAUAACCCCCUAUCCCCUCUUUAUUGCCAAACGCUAAUUUUUUUAUCCGAGAAUAGUAGUUUUCGGUUAUCUAUAAUAACCGGGUAUAACUAUUCCCACCAAUAUCUUUAUUUUCUAUAUAAAACUACCAACUAUUUUUCUUAUUCCAUAUUAUCUAUCCAAACGCUAUUUCUCUUAUUUUCGGAAACAACCUAAUUUUCAUCCAAACGCUAUUUUUCUUAUCUCCAUGCUUGUACAUAUUCCUGUAACAACUAGUUCUUACUUAUACCCGAACCAAACGCUACCAUAAGUACCAACCAUCAAGCUGUUAGUCAACUGUGUCAGAUACGGGCAGUCAAAAAAGAAAAGAAAAGAAGGGA
rnacentral:lncRNA from 1 species